UGACAAACAUGCGCUACAGAGUGCUUUCAUUUAUUAUCGAGGGAGUUCCAGCACCUGUUAGCAUACAGGCGCCUUCGGGCUGUCGCCAGUUCCAUGCCUUGUGUUUAAAUCAGCUGUGCUUAACAUUCAGCUCCAGACUGAAAUGGCCUGUGAGAUACCACUUUGUGUAUUUCAUAAGUAUUCCAAGUACUUGCAGAUGUAUUUUCUAAAAUAUCACACAAUUUGGAUCCAACAUAGUGUAACAGUAAACCUUGCUAUCUCCUUUUUCCUAUCCGUAGCUGCUAGGUAACUUCCAGACUGUGUAAAUAAUUUACGCACUUUUUAUUUACGUGAUUACAAGAUGCAGUCUUUCUUUCUUGCUUGUAUGAGCAUUAAAGUGGCAAAAUUUAUUGAGUUCAGUUAAACUUUUCCUGAUCUACAUCGGUAUAGUUGAGAAGCAAAUUGGAUCCUCCAUGAAGUCCCAGGAUAAGUAUCUUCUAUUUCAGACACUGUUCUUGCUGUUAAUAUAUUUUCCAUUAUCUGAGCAGCAGAAUGAUGCCUUUUCAUUUUAAAUUGCAGGUCCUGACAGAAAUGCAUAUCAUUGGGCUUUAAGAGACGUUUUAAAAUCCGUACUCGCAAAACUAGUAUUUGUAUUUAUUUUACCAUCACAAAGUUUAGUUUCUCUUAGGAAAUCAACACUUCUUCAUAAAAUUUUGGCUCUCGGAAUAACUGCUGUAAGAUAAUUUUUUUGCUUUAGAACUUUUUUGUUGUUGUUUUCUCCCUGUAAUUCUGACUGCUUCUCAUACAGCAACUUCAUCAGCCUCUCCCUUCUAAUCAGCUUCAGUAUUUACUGGCUAAAUAAUUAGUACUAGUCCUUGCUGUCUUCAAGGGUCACAGCAGAACCAGUGUUCCUCUCACCACUUAAAAACCUAUCUACUUUUUUUUUAAAAAGACUCUGAGAUAUGGUGUGUUUAAGUUGUAAGAAUUUGUGAAGUGAGGGUUUAACAGUGGGAAAAUGAACCUGAACUUUGUUUUCUAGUCUUCAAAAUCCUCUGCAUCUCCAGGAGCAAUCCCAUGUCAGAUAUCCGUCAAAGGCUGAGGUUCAGUUAUAAGUUGGAGCUCAAAACACCUGGGGGUCCAGCUGCCCCCCAGCGCCCUGACUAACAGCACUAGUUAACAGCGUGCGCUCCCUCAGCCAGCUGUCAGUGUGAAUUUAGACAUCCCUAAUCUCAUUUAUAUCACCAGCCUGGUUUGAAUCAUUGUAGGUUGUGGCAAUAUUAAUAUCCUAUGGCAAGGAGCCCUACUGAUCGUCACCCAUUGAGCAAUUUUAAGUUUUUGGUCCUAAAAGCUGCGUGACAGUGAGUUGUGUAGACCGCUGGCAGACAUUUGCAAUGUGUUUACUUCAAUUUCAUCAGUUUUCCCAUUCCUGGAAAAGAUUAAUAGGAACUUCUGGUAUAUUUUAUGAGACUCAUUCAUUUCCUUUUAAAAUAAACCAAAGCCAAAUAAAAUAGUCCAAUGUUUUCCUGCAGAAAUCAUCUUGUGGGUUUUUUACAGUAUUUUCACCGGUUUUCCUUGGACUCUUUCAGCUCUACAUGUUUUGACCAGAGGUUUGAGAACUGUAGUAAUUGAGGUUUUCUAAUAUUGAUUAUUAUCAGUUAUUUUACAGCUACAUGCUCAGAAUAAUUUGCCUGAAACCGAGCAAAUAACUAACACUGGGGCUAGAAAGAGCAACAAAAAAUGUGUCAUCAUGUCCCUUGGACAGUAAAAGGGGUUAAUGUCCUGAAGACAAAACCACCAUUACAGUAGAAAAGCCUCCCCUUUUUAAAUUUAAUUAUUAACUUACAGUCACAUGCCAAAUGCUCAUCUUGUUUUCAUACUGCUGAAAAGGAGAUACGAUGUCUUUGAAGCUUCCCCAAAUAUUUGAAAACCUGCAUCUUUGUGAUCACAGAGAAUUGCUUGAGAGUGACAGCUCUGGGCAAACACGAAAAGACAGAAAUUACAAAGCAACUUGGCAAAAAAUGGAACUAUGAAUAAUUAUUUGUCUGGCUGACAGAGAGAUUUAAGGGCCCAGUUUUCCGCUUUCCACUGAGUUAUGCUCACUUCUAAUCAUUCGAAUUAUAUAAAAGAUCAUCCUACGUUGUUGUCACUCUGGUGUUUCAUGGGGACUCGGAGUAAUAGACAGUGAUUGGAAACUCUGAAGUGAUUUAGUCUUUUCAGCCAAAAAGCUUAACCUACCUUUUGUCUUGCCUUGGAAUAGCUACCCCAAAAAGAAAAAAAAUUGACCUAUUUUUACGGUGUAAGCGUUCUCCUUUUUUUUUGUUGAUUAGUGCCUGUUCUCUAAAAUAACUAAGUUUCCUUUAACUGUCUUGCUACUUAAACUGGAGGAGAUGAAAAAUGGUUUAAGAGAUGGUUACAAGGUGGGCGAGGCUACGGAAAACUUCAUAUUUCUGGCUGUGCCACGGACCUCUUUUAAUGCUGGGGAAGUUGCUUUGGUCUCCAGGCUAGUGACUCUGUUCCUGUGCUCCAGCCGAGCCAUAAUCAAUCACUGAAUGUGAGCAUAGGCUUGGCCUGUUGCAAACUUAAAACGUAUUAGUCCUCGUUAGUUUGAGACACGAGCCAGCACGCUGGCCCUCUGUUUAGCGCAGGGCAGAGUUCGCGUGGUCCCCCGGCAGCGUGAAGCAGGCCGGCGCGCUGAGCUGCCCGAUCCUGGCCUUGCAGGAGACAACAUUGGCUGCGGCGUUUCCUUGCAGCAAAAUGUUUUGCUGUGGAGCCUGUGAGAUCUGUUGAAGUUUUUGCUGGCAGCCUCGGGGACCUCCAGCCACAGGACCGUUGCUGGAGACCCUCUGGGAGGCAACGGUCCGAGUAGCACCAGGUCUUCAUUUUGAAGAAUGCAAUUUUUGGCUCAAGCAGAGGCCAGCGAUCACUAAUUUAGAUUCAGAAGGAGAGGUGUAAACUGGGAUUUCCGCUCAUAUAAAACCUUCAGUGCUUUACAGCAUAUGUUCAAGUAGUCCCACAUAAUCUAGUAAUGAAAAGCUGAAUUUUUAAAAGCUGUACUUUCAAGGUUCGUUUCAAAGCUAUUGUGAAGUACGUUCAAAUGGAGCUGGAUGAACAGUGCAUUUUUCAGUUUGUCUGAACUGAAAAAUUGUAUUAAAAUAAAUUGGCUUGUAUUAAUCCAAAAUAGAAAAGAUUUUGUUUUAUUGGUGAAAUAUAAAUCCCACAGAAUUAAUUCUGAGUCAAUCUGAAAUAUUUAUUUUAUAUAAUUAAUAUCUAAUUCUUGCUUUAUAGUAACCUUUUUUUAGCCUCUUCCUAUAAUCCCUCCAUCCUGUCAUGUAAUCCCAUUUUAAAAAUGCAUUAUUGAAACCUAAUGCUGUAAAAUUGUAUUCUAAACAUUGUUAGAAUUAUUUUAACAUUUCCUAAAUAAAAUAUUCAAUUCUGAAAAUAUCAGAAUACUCUUUUCCCUAACAAAA